rnacentral:rRNA from 1 species
UACAGAGGGUGCAAGCGUUGUUCGGAAUUACUGGGCGUAAAGGGCGCGUAGGCGGUUGGAUAAGUCAGCUGUGAAAACCACGGGCUUAACUCGUGGCCUGCAGUUGAGACUGUCUGGCUUGAGUGUGGGAGAGGAGAGUGGAAUUCCUGGUGUAGCGGUGAAAUGCGUAGAUAUCGGGAGGAACACCAGUGGCGAAGGCGGCCUUCUGGGCGGCAACUGACGCUGAGGCGCGAAAGCGUGGGGAGCGAACCGG